rnacentral:tRNA from 1 species
GUGGAUAUAGCUCAGUGGCAGAGUGCAUGCUUAGCAUUCACAAGGUCCUGAGUUCAAUCCUCAGUACCUUCA